UGCAGAAUCCCGUGAACCAUCGAGUCUUUGAACGCAAGUUGCGCCCCAAGCCUUCUGGCCGAGGGCACGUCUGCCUGGGCGUCACAA
rnacentral:rRNA from 2 species